rnacentral:misc_RNA from 1 species
GAUGAAGAACGUAGCGAAAUGCGAUAAGUAAUGCGAAUUGCAGAAUUUCCGUGAGUCAUCGAAUCUUUGAACGCACAUUGCGCCCAUUGGUAUUCCGAUGGGCAUGCCUGUUCGAGCGUCAUUAUCUUCCCUCAAACCUCGCGUUUGGUGUUGGGCCGUGCUGGUUCCUGCGUGACCAACUGGCCUCAAAGACAAUGACGGCGUCCGUGGGACCCUCGAUGCAACGAGCUUCUCAGGAGCACGCGUCGAGUUUCAAGGACCUUCCGGGCCGGUCUCUCCUCAUGUGAUUACAAGGUUGACCUCGGAUCAGGUAGGGAUACCCGCUGAACUUAAGCAUAUCAAUAAGCGGAGGA